rnacentral:rRNA from 1 species
AGAACGAACGCUGGCGGCAUGCCUAAUACAUGCAAGUCGAACGAACACUUCGGUGUUAGUGGCGCACGGGUGCGUAACGCGUGGGAAUCUGCCCUUGGGUUCGGAAUAACAGUUGGAAACGACUGCUAAUACCGGAUGAUAUCGAAAGAUCAAAGAUUUAUCGCCCAGGGAUGAGCCCGCGUAGGAUUAGCUAGUUGGUGAGGUAAAGGCUCACGAAGGCGACGAUCCUUAGCUGGUCUGAGACGGAUGAUCAGCCACGACUGGGACUGGACGACACGGCCAGACCUCCGACGGGAGGCCAGACAGGUAGGGAAUUACGUUAGACGAAGUGGGCU